GAUGAACGCUGGCGGCGUGCCUAAUACAUGCAAGUCGAGCGAACGGACGAGAAGCUUGCUUCUCUGAUGUUAGCGGCGGACGGGUGAGUAACACGUGGAUAACCUACCUAUAAGACUGGGAUAACUUCGGGAAACCGGAGCUAAUACCGGAUAAUAUUUUGAACCGCAUGGUUCAAAAGUGAAAGACGGUCUUGCUGUCACUUAUAGAUGGAUCCGCGCUGCAUUAGCUAGUUGGUAAGGUAACGGCUUACCAAGGCAACGAUGCAUAGCCGACCUGAGAGGGUGAUCGGCCACACUGGAACUGAGACACGGUCCAGACUCCUACGGGAGGCAGCAGUAGGGAAUCUUCCGCAAUGGGCGAAAGCCUGACGGAGCAACGCCGCGUGAGUGAUGAAGGUCUUCGGAUCGUAAAACUCUGUUAUUAGGGAAGAACAUAUGUGUAAGUAACUGUGCACAUCUUGACGGUACCUAAUCAGAAAGCCACGGCUAACUACGUGCCAGCAGCCGCGGUAAUACGUAGGUGGCAAGCGUUAUCCGGAAUUAUUGGGCGUAAAGCGCGCGUAGGCGGUUUUUUAAGUCUGAUGUGAAAGCCCACGGCUCAAUCGUGGAGGGUCAUUGGAAACUGGAAAACUUGAGUGCAGAAGAGGAAAGUGGAAUUCCAUGUGUAGCGGUGAAAUGCGCAGAGAUAUGGAGGAACACCAGUGGCGAAGGCGACUUUCUGGUCUGUAACUGACGCUGAUGUGCGAAAGCGUGGGGAUCAAACAGGAUUAGAUACCCUGGUAGUCCACGCCGUAAACGAUGAGUGCUAAGUGUUAGGGGGUUUCCGCCCCUUAGUGCUGCAGCUAACGCAUUAAGCACUCCGCCUGGGGAGUACGACCGCAAGGUUGAAACUCAAAGGAAUUGACGGGGACCCGCACAAGCGGUGGAGCAUGUGGUUUAAUUCGAAGCAACGCGAAGAACCUUACCAAAUCUUGACAUCCUUUGACAACUCUAGAGAUAGAGCCUUCCCCUUCGGGGGACAAAGUGACAGGUGGUGCAUGGUUGUCGUCAGCUCGUGUCGUGAGAUGUUGGGUUAAGUCCCGCAACGAGCGCAACCCUUAAGCUUAGUUGCCAUCAUUAAGUUGGGCACUCUAAGUUGACUGCCGGUGACAAACCGGAGGAAGGUGGGGAUGGCGUCAAAUCAUCAUGCCCCUUAUGAUUUGGGCUACACACGUGCUACAAUGGACAAUACAAAGGGCAGCGAAACCGCGAGGUCAAGCAAAUCCCAUAAAGUUGUUCUCAGUUCGGAUUGUAGUCUGCAACUCGACUACAUGAAGCUGGAAUCGCUAGUAAUCGUAGAUCAGCAUGCUACGGUGAAUACGUUCCCGGGUCU
rnacentral:rRNA from 1 species